CCCGCCCCCUCCCCCGGAGCGCCCGCUGCUGAAAGACACUUCCGGCUCAAGGGAAAACAAAUUCUGCAAGGACCAACUAACUAGUCCAGGUGCGGUAUGAAUAGCUGCUUUUGCUGUCAUGAGGGAAGACUGAGAAAGAGCGAGAGAUGCUACAGGAAUCAAUUUGCAUGCUGAGCCAGAUUGCCUCCAGAGAAGAGAACUCUGAGCCACCCCAUUCUAAGAGACGUCUGAGCCACCCCCAAUCUGAGAGAAGUCUGAGCCACCCUCAUUCAAAGUCUUAAUACUCUCUAGCUUUCUGAAUAAGGCAUCAAGGCGAGUGUCAGAAAUAACUCCUGAACCAGCCUGGACCAGACAAUGGGAAGCUUGG